rnacentral:rRNA from 1 species
UGAGUAAUCUGCCCUCCACUUUGGGAUAGCCACCGGAAACGGUGAUUAAUACCGGAUAUGACCUUGGCCCGCAUGGGUUGUGGUGGAAAGUUUUUCGGUGGGGGAUGUGCUCGCGGCCUAUCAGCUUGAUGGUGGGUAAUGGCCUACCAUGGCUUCGACGGGUAGCCGGCCUGAGAGGGCGACCGGCCACACUGGGACUGAGACACGGCCCAGACUCCGUACGGGAG